rnacentral:SRP_RNA from 1 species
GCCGGGCGCGGUGGUGCGUGCCUGUAGUCCCAGCUACUCGGGAGGCUGAGGUGGGAGGAUCUUUUGAGCCCAGGAGUUCUGGGCUGUACUGCGCUAUGCCGAUCGGGUGUCCGCACUAAGUUCGGCAUCAAUAUGGUGACCUCCCGGGAGCGGGGGACUACCAGGUUGCCUAAGGAGGGGUGAACCGGCCCAGGUUGCAAACGGAGCAGAUCAAAACUCCCGUGCUGAUCAGUAGUGGGAUCGCGCCUGUGAAUAGCCACUGCACUCCAGCCUGGGCAACAUAGAGAGACCCCGUUUCU